rnacentral:rRNA from 1 species
AUUGAACGCUGGCGGAAUGCUUUACACAUGCAAGUCGAACGGCAGCACGGACUUCGGUCUGGUGGCGAGUGGCGAACGGGUGAGUAAUGUAUCGGAACGUGCCCAGUCGUGGGGGAUAACGUAGUGAAAAUUACGCUAAUACCGCAUACGAUCUAUGGAUGAAAGCGGGGGACCGUAAGGCCUCGCGCGAUUGGAGCGGCCGAUAUCAGAUUAGGUAGUGGGUGGGGUAAAGGCUCACCAAGCCGACGAUCUGUAGCUGGUCUGAGAGGACGACCAGCCACACUGGAACUGAGACACGGUCCAGACUCCUACGGGAGGCAGCAGUGGGGAAUUUUGGACAAUGGGCGCAAGCCCGAUCCAGCCAUUCCGCGUGCAGGAUGAAGGCCCUCGGGUUGUAAACUGCUUUUGUACGGAACGAAAAGGCUCUGGUUAAUACCUGGGGCUCAUGACGGUACCGUAAGAAUAAGCACCGGCUAACUACGUGCCAGCCGCCGCAGUAA